UUAUACAAAACCAGGAGACAUUGACCCUACAUCAGUAGCAAGUCCCAAAGAUCCAGAAGAUAUACCAACAUUUGAUGAAUGGAAGAAGAAAGUUAUGGAAGUAGAAAAAGAAAAAAGUCAGUCGAUGCAUGCAUCUUCUAAUGGAGGUUCACAUGCCACCAAAAAGGUCCAGAAAAAUCGAAAUAAUUAUGCCUCAGUAGAAUGUGGUGCCAAAAUUCUAGCAGCUAAUCCAGAAGCCAAGGUAGGUGCUUAAAUAUAAAAUUUUGUAUAUAUAGGAAAUUAACGACUUUUUAAAAUACAGGUUAUUUGUUUACUGGGAACUAUAUUUUAAUGUGAGAUAUUUUCCUUAUUCACUAAUAAAAGCAGAAUAUGCUUUUCAAAACAUUAUCUUGUAUGAAUUCUUACUUAUAUUGGCUGAUGUAUUUUGCCCUGCAUUUUUUAACUUUUAAAACCCGUAUGAAAUUUUUAAAAGGAAAUAACUAAAAUAUUAUUUUUUUCUUUAAAGUAACAGGCAUUGAAUUUUAAAUGUAUCAUUGUAACACUAAUUUAAUGCUGUUGCCGUGAAUGGUGAAUCUUAGCCACU
rnacentral:sRNA from 1 species